AUCCAACUGGGGAGUUCCGAAUAGGACGAAACACGCGUCAAACUGGAU
rnacentral:hammerhead_ribozyme from 1 species